GCCUUCUUAGUGCAGUAGGCAGCGCGUCAGUCUCAUAAUCUGAAGGUCCUGAGUUUGAUCCUCAGAGAGGGCA
rnacentral:tRNA from 1 species